rnacentral:rRNA from 1 species
UACGAAGGGGGCUAGCGUUGCUCGGAAUCACUGGGCGUAAAGCGCACGUAGGCGGCUUUCUAAGUCAGGGGUGAAAUCCUGGAGCUCAACUCCAGAACUGCCUUUGAUACUGGAAAGCUUGAGUUCGGGAGAGGUGAGUGGAACUGCGAGUGUAGAGGUGAAAUUCGUAGAUAUUCGGCGGAACACCAGUGGCGAAGGCGGCUCACUGGCCCGGUACUGACGCUGAGGUGCGAAAGCGUGGGGAGCAAACAGG